UGAUCCUACAAGUUAUAAAAAACACAUAACUGGCUCAGAGAAUACUCAACACCCAUUCCUACUAAUCAAAGUGGAUUUCAAUAUCUGUAUAAAGAAGACAAUAGAUAAAUUGACACUAUUUUAUCAAUAACCGAAUUUGACAGAAGAGUUCAUAGGAAAUUUAGUUUGGUGCUUGUGAUCAUCAUAAAAUCAUAAAUAUAUACCCC
rnacentral:lncRNA from 1 species